rnacentral:rRNA from 1 species
ACAGGUGGUGCAUGGUUGUCGUCAGCUCGUGUCGUGAGAUGUUGGGUUAAGUCCCGCAACGAGCGCAACCCCUAUUGUUAGUUGCCAUCAUUCAGUUGGGCACUCUAGCGAGACUGCCGGUAAUAAACCGGAGGAAGGUGGGAUGACGUCAAAUCAUCAUGCCCCUUAUGACCUGGGCUACACACGUGCUACAAUGGUUGGUACAACGAGUUGCGAGUCGGUGACGGCGAGCUAAUCUCUUAAAGCCAAUCUCAGUUCGGAUUGUAGGCUGCAACUCGCCUACAUGAAGUCGGAAUCGCUAGUAAUCGCGGAUCAGCACGCCGCGGUGAAUACGUUCUCGGGUUU